rnacentral:rRNA from 1 species
UACGAAGGGGGCUAGCGUUGCUCGGAAUCACUGGGCGUAAAGGGUGCGUAGGCGGGUCUUUUAAGUCAGGGGUGAAAUCCUGGAGCUCAACUCCAGAACUGCCUUUGAUACUGAGGAUCUUGAGUCCGGGAGAGGUGAGUGGAACUGCGAGUGUAGAGGUGAAAUUCGUAGAUAUUCGCAAGAACACCAGUGGCGAAGGCGGCUCACUGGCCCGGUACUGACGCUGAGGCACGAAAAGCGUGGGGGAGCAAACAG